AGCAGGAGGGCCGUAUGAACGCUGAAACAGCUGGUGUUUUUUCUUAUCAGAAGACUUUACUUGAUGAUGGGACUGCUGGUAACUGUGGUACUUCUGGGACUAUGCUCCCAAGCCGGGACAAUGUCCCGGAUUCCCAGCGUACCCCAAUCCGGUCCCCCCAGACUGUGAAAUGAAGUGCAAUUCGGAUUCAGAUUGUGUUGGAGAGCUAAAGUGCUGCCAAACCUACUGCGAAACGAGGUGCACAACACCUGGACCAACGAAAAUAGGAAAAUGCCCCCCUGUAACCUGGAAACCUUGUCCAACCUGCAUAAAACAUAGGUGCUACUUUGACACCGAGUGUCCUAAAAACCAAAAAUGCUGCGCCUUCCAGUGUGAAAUUAAAUGUACCGACGUCUGAAGUCAAGAACGAAGUUGAGUCUAGAAAGGACACAAGAUGAUUGAACCUACAAGAUGCCUGAUGAGACACAACAGUGAGGUCAACCUAUAUUACCAUGAAUAAUAAAAGAUAAUUCCAUUGUG